AAUAGGUAAGCAACUAACCUGUUAUCAUGUCCAAAGGUGAAGCUAUUCACUCGUUCAUUUACCUCAUUUACUUAUUCAUUAAUCUCAUGGCUUACCCGAAGGCUCGCCUACAGCUCACUAGCCAUCUCGACACGUAGGGAGAAUUCACUCACACUACGGACCCGAGACCGUCUGGCGGGGCCAUAUAGGCAAUCCCUGGCGUGACCAACAUCCGGAGCGCACUACUUGUGUGGGGCUUCCAUCACAAGAUUUAACAGACCGUGAGCAUGAUCCAAUCCUCAUCUCGAGAAUACCCUAUCCUCUAGGGUCACAAUCAUCAUAUAGUCCAUAGGUUUCAUAUACACUAUGACUCACAUAUGUCACUCGUUCUUUUGUUUACUAUCAACUAGAUGCCACUCGUUCUUUACAAGUUUCCAAUGCAAUAGCCAAUACAUUACUAGAUUUCAUCCACACUUAUCAUCUCAUUAUAGGGUUCCACAUCACAUAUAUAAACCUCAAGCAUGCUAGAUAUAAGUACUAAGCCAAAUACAUUAUUCUACCAAAAAAACAUGCAAGGUAUAGAACCAAACCCUCAUUUAUCACCCUAUAAUGCAAGAUGUCAAUAUGCAAUUUGAUUAAUAUAAAACUUAGACAUAAAAGGGAGCCCGAUUGCUUCGGGAUGGACACCACCCACCUUUUAUAGCAUUCCGAUUGCUCGUCGUCACUCGCAAUCGGCCUCCUGCGGCGCACGCCGCACGGCUCGACCCAACUCACGCGCAACUGCCAAGAGACCUCCUAUCCGCGAUCCGUCUGUUCUGGAGUUUAUUCCCCGACACCACGAUGCUACGAUUCCAUUUCCAUGAUUUUUGGAAGCUUUCGCCGCGAGCUGCGGCAAUCUGUACCUUAACGGCUUCGAUCCUCAAUACCUCCGCGUACACUCGUCGGAUCGCCGAACCGAGCGCACCGUUGCGUUCGUAGACCUACCAAUUAGGUUAGAGAAGGGUCAAUUGAGAUCAAAACCCCCUUAUGUAUCAAAACCCCAUUUUGGAGCCCUAAUCGCAAUUACGGCAAAAUCCGCUAUUAAAGCUUCGGAUUUAAGUGCUAAUCAUCAAUUAAGCUUGCUAGGAUUCCAUCUAAACCAUUCAUAGAGAUCAAAACCACAUCCUUAGAGAUCUACCAUUAACAAGGGUAGCAAGCUUACCCCUCAAGAUGCUCCAAUGGCAAGGAAGGAGAGAAGAAGAUGGAGAUGACCACCCUCUUGAUCUUCUUCUCCUUCUUCUCCUUCUUUCUUUUCUUCUUCUUCUUCUCUUCUUCUUCUUCUUCUUCUUCUUCACGUUUAGAGAGAAAGAGAGAGAUGGUGUUGGAGUGAGGGAAAUGAGAGAAAGAGAGAAAGAGCCCUUUCUAUACACUCUCAUUAGUGCAAAAUUGCAUAAAAACCCCUCAACAAUGCAUCUCUCAACAGCCCAAAAUGGGCAUUUUCGCGCUCGGGGACCGGUCCUUGCGGUGAGAGACCGGUCCCUGAGAGACCGGUCCUUGCGGUGAGAGACCGGUCCCCGAAGGUCCAGUACUCAGCCUCAAGGACUUAGCCAAAUUUCAGCCUCUUUCACCGUUUCUUCUCCGUUUUCGCCCGUUUUCGCUCGUUUGACCUCCGAUUCGUUUCAAAUCGAACCGAGACUCUUCAAACAUGUUUUCGAGCAUGUUUUCAUCAUCUUUUCAUCCACGCUAAUGCCGGAUUUAUCUCACGGCCCAACAUAGCCUUUCGGCUCCGUUUUAGCGCCUACGCGCACCGAAACGCCCGAAUGCCUCCGGGCCUCAUC
rnacentral:lncRNA from 1 species